CCUACGGGAGGCAGCAGUGAGGAAUAUUGGUCAAUGGACGAAAGUCUGAACCAGCCAAGUAGCGUGAAGGAUGACUGACCUAUGGGUUGUAAACUUCUUUUAUAAAGGAAUAAAACGAGGCACGUGUGCCUUUUUGCAUGUACUUUAUGAAUAAGGAUCGGCUAACUCCGUGCCAGCAGCCGCGGUAAUACGGAGGAUCCGAGCGUUAUCCGGAUUUAUUGGGUUUAAAGGGUGCGUAGAUGGUUUGUUAAGUCAGUUGUGAAAGUUUGUGGCUCAACCGUAAAAUUGCAAUUGAUACUGGCAGUCUUGAGUACAGUUGAGGUAGGCGGAAUUCGUGGUGUAGCGGUGAAAUGCUUAGAUAUCACGAAGAACCCCGAUUGCGAAGGCAGCUUACUAAACUGUGACUGACAUUGAUGCUCGAAAGCGUGGGGAUCAAACAGGAUUAGAUACCCUUGUAGUC
rnacentral:rRNA from 1 species